UACGUAGGGGGCAAGCGUUGUCCGGAUUCAUUGGGCGUAAAGAGCGUGUAGGCGGCCAGGUAGGUCGGUUGUGAAAACUGGAGGCUCAACCUUCAGAGGUCGACCGAAACCAUCUGGCUAGAGUCCGGGAGAGGAGAGUGGAAUUCCUGGUGUAGCGGUGAAAUGCGCAGAUAUCAGGAAGAACACCCGUGGCGAAAGCGGCUCUCUGGGCAGUAACUGACGCUGAGGAGCGAAAGCGUGGGGAGCGAACAGG
rnacentral:rRNA from 1 species